AGAGCGAACGCUGGCGGCAGGCUUAACACAUGCAAGUCGAACGCUCGUAGCAAUACGGGAGUGGCAGACGGGUGAGUAACGCGUGGGAACAUACCCUCCGGUUCGGAAUAGCUCAGGGAAACUUGGAUUAAUACCGGAUACGGCUGAGAGGCGAAAGAUUUAUCGCCGGAGGAUUGGCCCGCGUUCGAUUAGCUUGUUGGUGAGGUAACGGCUCACCAAGGCGAUGAUCGAUAGCUGGUCUGAGAGGAUGAUCAGCCACAUUGGGACUGAGACACGGCCCAAACUCCUACGGGAGGCAGCAGUGGGGAAUAUUGGACAAUGGGCGCAAGCCUGAUCCAGCCAUGCCGCGUGAGUGAUGACGGCCUUAGGGUUGUAAAGCUCUUUCGCUCGGGACGAUAAUGACGGUACCGAGAUAAGAAGCCCCGGCUAACUUCGCGCCAGCAGCCGC
rnacentral:rRNA from 1 species